UGGCUCAGAUUGAACGCUGGCGGCAGGCCUAACACAUGCAAGUCGAACGGUAACAGGAAGCAGCUUGCUGCUUCGCUGACGAGUGGCGGACGGGUGAGUAAUGUCUGGGAAACUGCCUGAUGGAGGGGGAUAACUACUGGAAACGGUGGCUAAUACCGCAUAACGUCGCAAGACCAAAGAGGGGGACCUUCGGGCCUCUUGCCAUCAGAUGUGCCCAGAUGGGAUUAGCUUGUUGGUGAGGUAACGGCUCACCAAGGCGACGAUCCCUAGCUGGUCUGAGAGGAUGACCAGCCACACUGGAACUGAGACACGGUCCAGACUCCUACGGGAGGCAGCAGUGGGGAAUAUUGCACAAUGGGCGCAAGCCUGAUGCAGCCAUGCCGCGUGUAUGAAGAAGGCCUUCGGGUUGUAAAGUACUUUCAGCGGGGAGGAAGGUGUUGAGGUUAAUAACCGCAGCAAUUGACGUUACCCGCAGAAGAAGCACCGGCUAACUCCGUGCCAGCAGCCGCGGUAAUACGGAGGGUGCAAGCGUUAAUCGGAAUUACUGGGCGUAAAGCGCACGCAGGCGGUCUGUCAAGUCGGAUGUGAAAUCCCCGGGCUCAACCUGGGAACUGCAUUCGAAACUGGCAGGCUUGAGUCUUGUAGAGGGGGGUAGAAUUCCAGGUGUAGCGGUGAAAUGCGUAGAGAUCUGGAGGAAUACCGGUGGCGAAGGCGGCCCCCUGGACAAAGACUGACGCUCAGGUGCGAAAGCGUGGGGAGCAAACAGGAUUAGAUACCCUGGUAGUCCACGCCGUAAACGAUGUCUACUUGGAGGUUGUGCCCUUGAGGCGUGGCUUCCGGAGCUAACGCGUUAAGUAGACCGCCUGGGGAGUACGGCCGCAAGGUUAAAACUCAAAUGAAUUGACGGGGGCCCGCACAAGCGGUGGAGCAUGUGGUUUAAUUCGAUGCAACGCGAAGAACCUUACCUGGUCUUGACAUCCACAGAACUUUCCAGAGAUGGAUUGGUGCCUUCGGGAACUGUGAGACAGGUGCUGCAUGGCUGUCGUCAGCUCGUGUUGUGAAAUGUUGGGUUAAGUCCCGCAACGAGCGCAACCCUUAUCCUUUGUUGCCAGCGGUCCGGCCGGGAACUCAAAGGAGACUGCCAGUGAUAAACUGGAGGAAGGUGGGGAUGACGUCAAGUCAUCAUGGCCCUUACGACCAGGGCUACACACGUGCUACAAUGGCGCAUACAAAGAGAAGCGACCUCGCGAGAGCAAGCGGACCUCAUAAAGUGCGUCGUAGUCCGGAUUGGAGUCUGCAACUCGACUCCAUGAAGUCGGAAUCGCUAGUAAUCGUGGAUCAGAAUGCCACGGUGAAUACGUUCCCGGGCCUUGUACACACCGCCCGUCACACCAUGGGAGUGGGUUGCAAAAGAAGUAGGUAGCUUAACCUUCGGGAGGGCGCUUACCACUUUGUGAUUCAUGACUGGGGUGAAGUCGUAACAAGGUAACCGUAGGGGAACCUGCGGUUGGAUCACCUCCUUACCUUAAAGAA
rnacentral:rRNA from 1 species